CGGGGCAGGUAGUCACCGGCGUCACGAAACACGCGCUGCACGAAAAGGCACGAGUCGUUGGCGCCUCCGCAGCGGCCACAGCGGUCCUCGAGGGCACCCGAGCCCAACAACCCAUCACAGCCGGCGCUCUAAAGGAUGAAGCCCAGAGAUUUGGCCAAAGCCACACAUCGAGGCUGAGGCAGAGCCAGGACUGGACCGUAGGUGCUCUGCGUCCAGCAACCUGGGACUCGCAGACACUGUUCCAAGCUCUAGGAUACAGAAGCAAGAAUUCAAUCAGUGUGCAGAUGGAUGGCCUUAAAAAAGGCCAGGUGUGGUGUCUCAUGCCUGUAAUCCCAGCACAUUGGGAGGCUGAGGUGGGCAGAUCUCCUGAGGCCAGGAGUUCAAGACCAGCCUGGGCAACAUGGCGAGACCCCCCCGUCUCUACCAAAAAUACAACAAUAAAAAUUUAGCCAGGCUUGGUGGUGGGAGCCUGUAAUCCCAGCUACUCCGGAGGCUGAGGCAGGAGAAUCGCUUGAACCAGGGAGGUGGAGGCUGUAGUGAGCCAAGAUCAUGCCACUGCACUCCAGCCUGGGUGACAGAGCGAGACUCCAUCUCAAAAAAAAAAAAAAAAAAAAAAAAAGAAGAUCUGAGCAUCUGGCCCAGGCACCAGCAAGUACCCAAUGAAGUGUUUGUCCAGUACUGACUGGACUGAGUCCCGCACAACUGAGCUGUGUCGCUGGUCCUCCCUGGGCCUCAGUUUCCCCUUCUGCCUGGAAGUGGGGCAAAAUGAGCUGUCUGAUCAAACACAAAGGCCGACAGCCCUGAUCUCCACUCCUCCUUCUCCAGCUCCUUCUGGCUCCCAUUUCCCUGAGCCUGGCUGGUGGACCCUGCCUGGAACGGAUCCUGGGCUGGCCCUAGUGGGCCUCUGCGGGGGUGGGAUCACAGCAGGUUUCCUCCAAUUCUCAGAUUGAUGGAAGGAAGGAAGGGAGGGAGGGAGGGAGGGAGGGAGGAAGGAAGGGAAGGGAGAAAGGGAAGGAAGGGAAGGAAGAAAGGGAAGGAAGGAAGGAAAUGAGGUUGAUGGAUGGCACUUUGUCCAUUCUAGGCUUUUCUUAUAUCUGUGUCUGCCUUCCCCAUGGCGUGUGAAGCUGCCUGUCUCCCUGAAAUCUGGAGGCGCACUGACCCGGGCACGUAGUUAUAUAACUCGCUAUUUUCAGCUCAAUGCAGCAACAUUUCCUGCUACUGGGAUAAGUUUGAGAAGUGUUGGCCUCUGGAUACAGCUCUAAGUCAAUCCUUAGUUGGGUGUUCAGCCCUGUGCAGAAUGAACCCUGCUUCCCUCUGCCCCUGUUUCACGCCUAACAUAUGCUGUUUCUGUUUCACUAACUCCUACAUAUCCUUCAAAGCCCUAGCACUAAUACCCUCUUCUCUUUGCAACCCUCCAAGACCCUCUCCCUGAGACUAAUGAGUUGUUCGCUCUGGACCAAUUCUGACCACAGGAGACCAGACUACUCACCCCCAUGGAAGGGCACCCACUGGUAGGUCUUCUGGGUGCCCAGGACAGGGCGGCCAUUGUACAGGGCACACUGUAGGUCUCGGAAGGGCACAGCCCCUGGGGGGCAGUCCUAGGGACAGAGAUAGGUGAGCCAGAGGCUGGGACAACCCCAAGGGGCAGGUGGUGGGCUUCAGGCAGUCUGGGGUGGGAGAGUGGUCUGGGAGGUGGGCAGGGCUUACUGGCAACUGGCAGAGGCGGUACUCAUGGGAGUCUCCCCAGCACGGUUCUUCCCCAGGAAGCCUGAAGGGAGACAGAGUGUGGCGAGAACCCCCAGGGACCCCCUCCCAGGGCUGGCCUUCCACCCUCCGCCCCCGCCAACCCCACCCGCAUUCCAGCGGGAUCAGGGGGAUUAAAGGGCACAGCAUGUGUGGGCAGGCCGAGGGUGCGGCCAGGGGCCGGGCUGGGCCGGCGGGGGAGGAGGGGCAGGGACCCCCUCCGGGCCCCGCUCACCGGAGGCAGCGCCGGCUGCGCACAGAGACGCCACGCCCGCAGGAGCUGGAGCAGCGGGUCCAGGACACCCACGGGGUCCACUCGCCCGGACCCUACUUGGGGAGACAGAGGCACGGUCAGCCUUGUAGGGGGACGCUGGUGACCCCACACUGCUGACUGGGUCCCCAUUCCCACUCGCCACCCCCUGGGCU
rnacentral:lncRNA from 10 species